AGAGUUUGAUCCUGGCUCAGAGCGAACGCUGGCGGCAGGCCUAACACAUGCAAGUCGAACGAUCCUUCGGGAUAGUGGCGGACGGGUGAGUAACACGUGGGAACGUACCUUUAGGUUCGGAACAACUCAGGGAAACUUGAGCUAAUACCGAAUGUGCCCCCUUCUUUUAGCGAAGAUGGGGGGAAAGAUUUAUCGCCUUU
rnacentral:rRNA from 1 species